rnacentral:rRNA from 1 species
UGAACGCUAGCGACAGGCUAACACAUGCAAGUCGAGGGGCAGCAUAAAGUAGCAAUACUUGGUGGCGACCGGCGCACGGGUGAGUAACGCGUAUGCAACCUACCUAUCAGAGGGGAAUAACCCGGCGAAAGUCGGACUAAUACCGCAUAAAACAGGGGCACCGCAUGGUGAUAUUGUUAAAGAAAUUCGCUGAUAGAUGGGCAUGCGUUCCAUUAGGUAGUUGGUGAGGUAACGGCUCACCAAGCCGACGAUGGAUAGGGGAACUGAGAGGUUGGUCCCCCACACUGGUACUGAGACACGGACCAGACUCCUACGGGAGGCAGCAGUGAGGAAUAUUGGUCAAUGGGCGGGAGCCUGAACCAGCCAAGUCGCGUGAAGGAAGAAGGAUCUAUGGUUCGUAAACUUCUUUUGCAGGGGUAAUAAAGUGCAGGACGUGUCCUGUUUUGUAUGUACCCUGAGAAUAAGGAUCGGCUAACUCCGUGCCAGCCGCCGC